AUUCCCUCUGUGCCCUGCUGCUCUCUGCAGCUGAAGAAGGACCGGAGCCAAGUGGCCAAGUACGUGCACCAGGCCCUGCCGUACCUGAGGAGCCCACAGCAGCCCCUGCGAGAGGCAGCCGUCACCUUCAUGGGGAUGGCCGCCAAGUACCUGAGGGGACGGUACCAAAAGCUGCAGCUCAUCAUUGACGCCCUUCAAGCCACGAGAGACGACAGGAGCCCUGCUGUUUCAAAGCUGGCACUAGACACCAUCAGCCUUGUUACAGCUGUGCAGAGAG